rnacentral:lncRNA from 1 species
GGCAGCGCGACGCCGGGUGGCCCAGCAGCGGGCGGGUGCCGGGGGCGGAAGCGCGGCCACAAGAGGGGGCGAUUCACCGCCGCCCCCCGUGGGACCUGGGUCCUCUACGCGGGACCGCAGGGGCCCCGAGUCGCGGGUUGGGCAAGGUCGCCCGCUCCGGGUCGCUCGGAAGGGUCAUUUCACGGACCGGUCGUCUGGGGCCAGUGCGUCUUGCCCCGCACGGAAGACCCCUCGCUUCGAGGACAGGAAAGCUUUUAAAGUGAGGAUUGGCUCGCCGCGCCUCCCGCAGAGGGGAACGCCGCCCGGACCCGCGCUCCUGGGGCGGGGGCCUCGUAUGCUGGCGUUGCCGGAGCGUCUGCGGCGCUGAAGGCUGCCGAGACCCAGCCACAUCCCCCACAAGCCAGCAGCCCGGCAGAAAAUUACAUAAAAUGCAGCGCUUCGCCGAGGGGGUGCGAGUCGGGGGAGCAGCGCGCAGCUGCGGCUGACGGCUCGGCUGGAUCCAUCCAAGCAUGGACAGGAAAACGGGACUGUGGGGAGAGGGUGGUGCAGACGGGCCGCAGACCCUCCUUAGGAAGAGAAGCCGGAAACUAGGGAGUCAUGUGCAGUUAGAAUCCUCUUGGAAGACUAGUAGGAUGUGAGGUUGGAGAGGUGGACGACGACCAGAAAAUUCCCUUGUCUUGCCAGGCUUCUGACCUAACUAUGAGUUUCCUCCGCGCAUCCAGCCUGCCCUGCUCUGGCCCCUAAAGUACAGCAGUAACACUCAGUGGUGUCCCUGCCUUCCUGGAAUGCGCGUUAACAAUUCUGAUUCUUACUCAUGGCAAUAACCUACACACCACAUAGACGUUAAAUGUGGUUCGGGUCAGACUCUAGGGCAGGACUCACUGCCUGCACCUUGUCUUGGCUCCACCAGCUUGACCUUGAGCAAGUCACAACCUGUGGGUCUCAGUGUUCCUUACUAGUAAACCGUAGGUAAUUCCUCACUAGUAAACAGAUAAUAUUUGUGCCUGUCUCAAAGUUGUGAGGAUUUAAUGAAUUUGUGUUCCUGGUAUACAGUAAGCACCGUGUACAAGUUGGCUUUUAUUUACACCAAAUAGCAAAAGCUUUUAUUUAUUUUGAGACAGGGUCUUGCUCUCAGGCUGGAGUGCAGUGGCGCGAUCUCACCUCACUGCAACCUCUGCCUCCCGGGUUCCAGCGAUUCUUGUGCCUCAGCCUCCCGAGUAGCUGGAAUUGCAGGCAAGCGCCACCACGUCCGGCUAAUUUUUAUAUUUUUAUAUUUUUAGUAGGGACGGGUUUCACCAUGUUGGCCAGGCUGGUCUCGAACUCCUGGCCUCAGGUGAUCCACCCGCCUUGGCCUCCCGAAGUGCUGGGGAUUACAUGCAUGAGCCACUGCGCCUGGCCAAAAGCUUUUAUAUAUAUUUAUAAAUGGACAUAGAUAUCUGUGAGGCUGUCGGGUAUGGUGGCUCACGCCUGUAGUCCCAAGCACUUUGGGAGGCCGAGGCAGGCGGAUCACGAGGUCAGGAAAUCAAGACCAUCCUGGCCAACAUAGUGAAACCCCCGUCUCUACUAAAAAUAAAAAAAUUAGCCAGGUGUGGCAGUGCGCGCCUCUAGUCCCAGCUACUUGAGAGGCUGAGGCAGGAGAAUCGCUUGAACCCCGGAGGCGGAGGCUGCAGUGAACCGAGAUCGCGCCACUGCACUCCAGCCUGGGCGACAAGGCGAGACUCCGUCUCCAAAAAAAAAAAGCUAUUUGUGAGGUAACAAUCUAAAUAUGUUUGAGCUAGUGCAACAGUAAGUUAACUCCUUACAUCUGUUAAUUCAGCAAGCACUAACAAGUGAUGGAGAUUAAAAAAAAAAAAGGAAUGAGCCACAGCUUUGCCAUCAAAGACUUCAGCGUCUCUUAGGGGAAACAGAUGAACAAAGAUUUCUAACAAGAGAGAGAAUAUCUUCCCGAUUCGACUCCCAUAUGUCAAGAGACUCAGAUGUGACUCAUAUUUGCCUGCCAGGAGGAGGAAAAAGAAAUACACUGUCCAGGAGCAACUCCUUAGUGGGUACCCACCAGAAGUGGUCUCCAAACAAGGGUCUCGCUGAUCCCAAAGAUGAAGAGACAAAACCGGCCUUGCUUGCCCCCAAGGUGAGACUUCGGAUCUGUGGUGAGGGAGGGAAAAAUUCCAGCAGACCCAAGAGGAAGGCUACAGAAGAAAGGACAGAAGCGUGGAGAGAAAUUCUAAGCAGGAGGCUGGGGAAGAAGGAAGAGCUUCAGGUCACUGGGUCACCCCACCAGGAGAUAGUCCCCUUGUGGCCUUGAGACUUAUGCAAUGGGCAGAUGCAAUCUGGGUACCUAAGGCAAGGAUUGCCCUUAUUCUGGCCAUGACAUUUAACACCUAAUUGCAGCAAUAACCCCUCUUUUCCACCUGGAGAAAGCUUCCUGGCCCCUCUUUUUCACUUGUGGGUAAGUCUGGCCAAGAGCAGGGUGAAGAAACCCAUAGUCUAACAC